GAUGAACGCUAGCGGCAGGCCUAAUACAUGCAAGACGAACGGUAAGUUGAGUAGCAAUACUUAGCCAAGAGUGUCGUACGGGUGCGUAACACGUAUGCAACCUACCCUAUACAGGAGGAUAGCCUAGGGAAACCUGGAUUAACCCUUCAUAGUAUUAUUGGAUGGCAUCAUUUGAUAAUUAAAACUGAGGUGGUAUAGGAUGGGCAUGCGUCUGAUUAGUUAGUUGGCGGGGUAAUGGCCCACCAAGACGAUGAUCAGUAGGGGUUCUGAGAGAAAGAUCCCCCACACUGGCACUGAGAUACGGGCCAGACUCCUACGGGAGACAGCAGUAGGAAUAUUGGUCAAUGGAUGCAAG
rnacentral:rRNA from 1 species